rnacentral:lncRNA from 1 species
GGUCAUUUCACACCUCAAACCCGAAGGCUUAAAGUAUAAUCUGACCCAAACAAUCAUAUUGUAACUGGAUGUUACCAAUUACCAAAUACCUGCUCAGAGUAGUGGAAACAAAAUCUAAAAUCCUUAAAGUUCAAUUUCCAAAUAACUUCCAAAUACCAAAUGAUCCAAAAUAACAUAACUAAUAGUUAAACAAAAUCCAACAUAAAAUCCUAAGUCAAAUCCUAAUGAUGACCAUUCCUCAGCCUAGCCAUCACUCCUCACCCGAACUAAGAGUACCUGAAAAAUUUUCAACAACUGGGAAUGAGCUCACAGCCCAAUAAGGAAUAUUAAUGCAAUUCAUGGAUCAAAUAUUUUCAUUUCAAAUAGGAGAUAUCAUUUUUUUUUUUCUCAUCAAAUAUCAGAGUUUCAAAAAUACCAAUAUAUUCAAAUUUCAACCAACCAAUUUCAUAUCAAAUUCAAACACUUUCACAUAAAAUUCAAUCAAAUCCAUUCAAGUUUCAUUACUCUGGUUAUCAAAUGUCAAAUGCCCAGUUAGGUGGGACUUUUCAAAUGGGUGGCUAGCCUCAAAUUGUUCCUGGUGGACGGAACCAAACACUACUAGUACUAGUAACCUCUAACCAAACCCCUAGAGGCUGGGGUCCAAAUCAAUUACAUUCCCACCAUGAAAUGUAAAGGUCAACUAUUAUAUCCCGUUGACAGGGCCGAAUAGUCAACUAUUAUAUCCCGUUGACAAGGGCCAAAUAAACCAGAGUGAUGUUUUUGUCCAAGUAUUCAAAUUUACACAACAUAAUAUCUCCAUAUUUUGUGUCAUAAAUAAAACAAAAUAUUCCAACAUAACAUUUAGUGCAAAACAAUUUGAUCCAUGCAUGGUAACAAAAUAUCAUUUUAUUUUCCACAAUUCAAAAUAACAUAUGAAAUAAUUUAAUUUUAUAAAUAUUACAUUAACUUCCCUUACCUCAAAAGAAGUCCUCAAAAACUUUGGAGAAAAAUAAUCCUUAAAAUCUACUCUUCACCUAACAAAACAUAAGAGGAACAAUUAUUACUAUUUAUUUAUAAUUUAACUAAUCUAUUCCUUAUUUAAAUAAAACUAAUAAAUUCUCAAUUUGUUUCUAAUAACACAUUACUAAUUUAAUUAAAUUAUAACUUUAUUUCGUUAUAAAAUUCUAUAUAUAUAUUGCUAAAUCUCUUAUUCUAUUUAUUACAAAAAUACCAUUAUUACUAUUAUCUUAUUUAUAAAUCUAAAACUAAAUAUUAUUAUUUAAUUAACCAAUUCCAAACCACUCAACCUCGGGUACACCAAACCAAAAAGCAAAAUUAUUUUUUAUUUUUUAUUUUUUUUUUCAUUGCCCUCAUGAUCCAUUAUAUACAUAUAUAUAUAUAUAUAUAUAUAAAAGAGCUUCCGGGCACACGCCCCUUUUGCUUUUCUUUAUAUAUAUAUAUAUAUAUAUAUAUAUAAAAGGGGGGCUUCCGGCACACGCCUUUUUUUUUUUUUUUUUUUUUUUUUCAUGCUUCCAGUAGCACAGUGCACACGCCCUUUUUCUUUUUUUUCUUUUUUUUUUUUCCAUGCUUCCGGUAGCACAGUGCACGUACGCCCUUUAUUUUUAUUUUUAUUUUUAUAAUAAAAUUAACCCUAACCUAAAAUCGAAACUUUCCAAGAAUUUUUUUUUUUUUUUUUUCAUCUAAUAAAACUUAAUAUCUCCCAAAUUCCAAUAAUAAAAUCAAAAUCUUAGAUUUUCACUGUUUGAUAUUAAAACGAAUUAAAAAAAAAUAAUCUAACCCUAAUCUAGAUUUGGGGUUUUCCAAAAAAAUAUAUCUAAUGCUUGAAAUUAACUAAUGAAUCUAAAAUAAUAAUCUAGGGGUUAGAAACUUACCUAUAGAGAUCUGUUCUUCAACCCUGAAAUCUGACUCCAACCUUACGUUCUCUGGAAUUCUGCGAACAGGAACUCUAUUCAGAAAAGAAGGGAAAGAAUAAAAUUUCUAAUUUAUACCUAGGGUAUUUAUUCGUAAAAUUACACUUUUAC